CUUCUUUCUGCUUUCGGCUUCUCUACAGUGUUGCCUUGUGGCGUGGAGUUCAAGCAGCAUUGUACAGGGCUAUCAAAGCAUAGA
ensembl:miRNA MIR107 microRNA 107